UUAAGUCUGAUGUGAAAGCCCACGGCUCAACCGUGGAGGGUCAUUGGAAACUGGGAGACUUGAGUGCAGGAGAGAAAAGUGGAAUUCCACGUGUAGCGGUGAAAUGCGUAGAGAUGUGGAGGAACACCAGUGGCGAAGGCGGCUUUUUGGCCUGUAACUGACGCUGAGGCGCGAAAGCGUGGGGAGCAAACAGGAUUAGAUACCCUGGUAGUCCACGCCGUAAACGAUGAGUGCUAGGUGUUGGGGGGUUCCACCCUCAGUGCUGAAGUUAACACAUUAAGCACUCCGCCUGGGGAGUACGACCGCAAGGUUGAAACUCAAAGGAAUUGACGGGGGCCCGCACAAGCAGUGGAGCAUGUGGUUUAAUUCGAAGCAACGCGAAGAACCUUACCAGGUCUUGACAUCCUCUGACCACUCUAGAGAUAGAGCUUUCCCCUUCGGGGGACAGAGUGACAGGUGGUGCAUGGUUGUCGUCAGCUCGUGUCGUGAGAUGUUGGGUUAAGUCCCGCAACGAGCGCAACCCUUGACCUUAGUUGCCAGCAUUCAGUUGGGCACUCUAAGGUGACUGCCGGUGACAAACCGGAGGAAGGUGGGGAUGACGUCAAAUCAUCAUGCCCCUUAUGACCUGGGCUACACACGUGCUACAAUGGAUGGUACAAAGGGUUGCGAAGCCGCGAGGCCAAGCCAAUCCCAAAAAGCCAUUCUCAGUUCGGAUUGUAGGCUGCAACUCGCCUACAUGAAGCCGGAAU
rnacentral:rRNA from 1 species